UACGUAGGGUGCAAGCGUUGUCCGGAAUUAUUGGGCGUAAAGAGCUCGUAGGCGGUCUGUCGCGUCGGCUGUGAAAACCCGGAGCUCAACUCCGGGCCUGCAGUCGAUACGGGCAGACUGGAGUUCGGCAAGGGAGACUGGAAUUCCUGGUGUAGCGGUGAAAUGCGCAGAUAUCAGGAGGAACACCGGUGGCGAAGGCGGGUCUCUGGGCCGAUACUGACGCUGAGGAGCGAAAGCGUGGGGAGCGAACAGG
rnacentral:rRNA from 1 species